UUUCUGGGAUAAAACUGAGGGGAAAGGAGGUCCCCAAGCUCAAAUUUGGGGGUAAAAAUGGGGAAAAGGGGGUUCUCGACAACAUUUUGGGGUAAAACUGAGGGAAAUUGGGGUCCCAUGAUUGUGUUCAGUGAUACAAGUGAGAAAAUGUUGGGGUCUCCUCUCUUUUUUGGGGGAUAUAAAUGGGGAGAGUGUGCUUUUUUGAGGGUACAACCAAAGGAAAUUGGGUCCCCAGAGCACUUUUUGGGGUACAACUGAUGAAAAUGGGGUCCCCAGAGCCCUUUUUGGGGGUACAACCGAAGGAAAUGGGGUCCCCAGACCCCUUUUUGGGGUACAGUCAUGAGAAAUGGGGUCCCCAGAGCCCUUUUUGGGGUACAGUCAUGAGAAAUGGGUCCUCAGACCACUUCUUGGGUACAACUGAAGGAAAUGGGGUCCUCAGACCCCUUUUUGGGGUACAACCGAAGGAAUUGGGGUCCCCAGAGCACUUUUUGGGAUACAGUCACAGGCAAUGGGGUCCUUAGCACCCUUUUUGGGGCACAACUGAUAAAAAUGGGGUCCCAAGACCCCUUUUUUGGGGGUACAACCAAAGGAAAUGGGGUCCCCAGAGCCCUUUUUGGGGUACAACCGAAGGAAAUGGGGUCCUUAGCACCCUUUUUGGGGUACAACUGAAGGCAAUGGGGUUCCCAAAGCACUUUUUGGGGGUACAACCGAAGGCAAUGGGGUCCCCAGAGCCCUUUUUGGGGGUACAACCGAAGGAAUUGGGGUCCUUAGCACCCUUUUUGGGGUACAACUGAAGGCAAUGGGGUUCCCAAAGCACUUUUUGGGGGUACAACUGAAGGCAAUGGGGUCCCGAGACCCCUUUUUUGGGGGUACAACCAAAGGAAAUGGGGUCCCCAGAGCACUUUUUGGGGGUACAACCGGAGGAAAUUGGGUCCCCAGAGCCCUUUUUGGGGGUACAACCGA
ensembl:lncRNA